AGGUGCUCCACCCCACUCAGCCUCCCAAAAUGCUGGGAUUACAGGUGUGAGCCACCUUCCACGGCCAGGUAUCAGAAUUUAAUGCUUCUGUUUCUAAAUGUUUCUAUUUGUCUUCUGCCUAGCUUUAUACCACACUCUCUUCUCUUACAAUUUCUUCUUAAGGAAGUUCCACUCAGAGAAGAAUUUUUUAGGUUGAUGCUAACCAGAUGGCUUUUUCUAAUCUUCCCCAGAAAAAUGCAAAGCAGAGUUUGAAACUAACACUGCCACCUACAAGUAAGUACUUUGAAAAGAAAAAAGACUGAAAUACCAAUCAUCUGGGUAGAUGUCCAAGCUGCCAGAAAUCUAAGAAUAGGGCUUUAGAAUGGGGUUUACAGAAAAUAGAAAUGUGAUUAAAAUAAAAUAAGGAAAGAAAAAGAACUUCAAAGUCUUGACAUCAUUCAAAAACAAAAAAUCUAUUUGCCUUUGUAUUUUAUCUCUAUAUUUGCUAUAUCAUUGCAGCCAUUGCCCCAGAUCCUUGGGCAAGUUACUUUUAACAUCUCUGCAUCUCCCUUUCCUCAUCUACAUGAAGAUAAUAAUAGUACUUACCUCUUUGUUGUGAGGAUUACAUUCUUAAUCUUAUUAAGAAUUUAGUGUUAAUCAUGAAUACCUAGUAUUAUUAAUACUGUGUUAAUAAGAAUUUAAUAGUACCUAUUAAAAAUGAUUGAAUUUCAAUUCAGAGACCUAGUUCAUCUUUUCUUGAGUAUUAUUAUGUUUAGCCUUAACCGCUACUAAUACCCAUGACUCCUUAACUCCCACCACCAGCCGCCCCACAAAAAAACUUACCAGACCCUUUGUUUUCCAGUGAAACUGUGAAUAUGCAUACGAUCACCAAGUAGGAAUUAUUCUCUUAUUCACUGUGAAAUGUGUACCUGAACAACGUGGUUGCUACCAUAAGGAGAGAACCUGAAGUUGGACUUCAGCAUUACACUGAUAAAAGUUAUGUUCUUGUUGCCCAG
rnacentral:lncRNA from 1 species